rnacentral:rRNA from 1 species
UACGUAGGAUGCAAGCGUUAUCCGGAUUUAUUGGGUUUAAAGGGUGCGUAGGCGGCCUAUUAAGUUAGUGGUGAAAACGUUCGGCUUAACCGGAUACCCGCCAUUGAUACUGAUAGACUUGAGUGCGACAGAGGGUGUUGGAAUGUGUGGUGUAGCGGUGAAAUGCUUAGAUAUCACGCAGAACACCAAUUGCGAAGGCAGAUGCCUAUGUCGUAACUGACCAUGAGGCACGAAAGCGUGGGGAGCAAACAGG